rnacentral:rRNA from 1 species
AUUGAACGCUGGCGGCAGGCCUAACACAUGCAAGUCGAGCGGAUGAAGGGAGCUUGCUCCUGGAUUCAGCGGCGGACGGGUGAGUAAUGCCUAGGAAUCUGCCUGGUAGUGUGGGAUAACGUCCGGAAACGGGCGCUAAUACCGCAUACGUCCUGAGGGAGAAAGGGGGGGAUCUUCGGACCUCACGCUAUCAGAUGAGCCUAGGUCGGAUUAGCUAGUUGGUGGGGUAAAGGCCUACCAAGGCGACGAUCCGUAACUGGUCUGAGAGGAUGAUCAGUCACACUGGAACUGAGACACGGUCCAGACUCCUACGGGAGGCAGCAGUGGGGAAUAUUGGACAAUGGGCGAAAGCCUGAUCCAGCCAUGCCGCGUGUGUGAAGAAGGUCUUCGGAUUGUAAAGCACUUUAAGUUGGGAGGAAGGGCAGUAAGUUAAUACCUUGCUGUUUUGACGUUACCAACAGAAUAAGCACCGGCUAACUUCGUG